AGUGAACGCUGGCGGUAGGCCUAACACAUGCAAGUCGAACGGCAGCACAGUAAGAGCUUGCUCUUACGGGUGGCGAGUGGCGGACGGGUGAGGAAUACAUCGGAAUCUACUUUUUCGUGGGGGAUAACGUAGGGAAACUUACGCUAAUACCGCAUACGCCCAACGGGGGAAAGAAGGGGAUCUUCGGACCUUGCGCGAUUGAAUGGGCCGAUGUCGGAUUAGCUAGUUGGCGGGGUAAAGGCCCACCAAGGCGACGAUCCGUAGCUGGUCUGAGAGGAUGAUCAGCCACACUGGAACUGAGACACGGUCCAGACUCCUACGGGAGGCAGCAGUGGGGAAUAUUGGACAAUGGGCGCAAGCCUGAUCCAGCCAUACCGCGUGGGUGAAGAAGGCCUUCGGGUUGUAAAGCCCUUUUGUUGGGAAAGAAAAGCAGCAGGUUAAUACCCCGCUGUUCUGACGGUACCCAAAGAAUAAGCACCGGCUAACUUCGUG
rnacentral:rRNA from 1 species